rnacentral:rRNA from 1 species
CCUACGGGAGGCUGCAGUGAGGAAUAUUGGUCAAUGGCCGUAAGGCUGAACCAGCCAAGUCGCGUGAAGGAAGAAGGAUCUAUGGUUUGUCAACUUCUUUUAUAGGGGCAUAAAGAUAUCCACUUGUGGAUAUUUGCAUGUACCCUAUGAAUAAGCAUCGGCUAACUCCGUGCCAGCGGCCGCGGUAAUACGGAGGAUGCGAGCGUUGUCCGGAUUUAUUGGGUUUAAAGGGUGCGUAGGUUGUUUUUUAAGUCAGCGGUGAAAGUUUGUGGCUCAACCAUAAAAUUGCCGUUGAAACUGGAAGACUGGAGUGUGUUUGAGGUAGGCGGAAUGCGUGGUGUAGCGGUGAAAUGCAUAGAUAGCACGCAGAACUCCGAUUGCGAAGGCAGAUUACUAAGCAAUAACUGACACUGAAGCACGAAAGCGUGGGGAUCAAACAGGAUUAGAUACCCUGGUAGUC